CAGCAGCCACGGUAAUACGAAGGGGGCUAGCGUUGUUCGGAAUCACUGGGCGUAAAGCGCACGUAGGCGGAUAUUUAAGUCAGGGGUGAAAUCCCAGAGCUCAACUCUGGAACUGCCUUUGAUACUGGGUAUCUUGAGUAUGGAAGAGGUGAGUGGAAUUCCGAGUGUAGAGGUGAAAUUCGUAGAUAUUCGGAGGAACACCAGUGGCGAAGGCGGCUCACUGGUCCAUUACUGACGCUGAGGUGCGAAAGCGUGGGGAGCAAACAGGAUUAGAUACCCCGGUAGUCCCUGUCUCUUAUAC
rnacentral:rRNA from 1 species